CCCUUCGGGUGAUUUGUUGGGCGUCGAGCGGCGGACGGGUGAGUAAUGCCUGGGAAAUUGCCCUGAUGUGGGGGAUAACCAUUGGAAACGAUGGCUAAUACCGCAUAAUGUCUACGGACCAAAGAGGGGGACCUUCGGGCCUCUCGCUUCAGGAUAUGCCCAGGUGGGAUUAGCUAGUUGGUGAGGUAAUGGCUCACCAAGGCGACGAUCCCUAGCUGGUCUGAGAGGAUGAUCAGCCACACUGGAACUGAGACACGGUCCAGACUCCUACGGGAGGCAGCAGUGGGGAAUAUUGCACAAUGGGCGCAAGCCUGAUGCAGCCAUGCCGCGUGUAUGAAGAAGGCCUUCGGGUUGUAAAGUACUUUCAGUCGUGAGGAAGGCGUUGGAGUUAAUAGCUUCAUCGUUUGACGUUAGCGACAGAAGAAGCACCGGCUAACUCCGUGCCAGCAGCCGCGGUAAUACGGAGGGUGCGAGCGUUAAUCGGAAUUACUGGGCGUAA
rnacentral:rRNA from 1 species